rnacentral:lncRNA from 1 species
GUUUUUCUGAAGUAGUAUCAGUUUGUAAGCUGAAUGUUCUUUUCAAUCAUCUACUGAAGAUGUUGAACAAAUGUAUUUAAAGUUGUUAAUGAAGUUAUGUUAAAGCCACUUUCCUUGUUAAAUAUCUUCUCUAUUUCAUGCUAAAAGUCUAGCAAAAUAUAAAUACCUUUUCUUUACUGAAAUACCUCUCUGUAGAGGACAGACUGAAUGAAUUAAUCAAUCAAAAAAAUAUUUUGCUGCCAAGUCUGGAAGAAAAUUCACAAGAUUUGCAACAAGCACAGACUCUUGUGCUAGACCAAGAAGACAAAUGCAGAUAUUAUGAGAAAAAAAUGCAGGACCUAGCAGAAAAAAGAAGGCUUUUGCUUACCAGCCUGGAAUCGAAUUGGAAAGAUCUGCAACAGACUCAGGCUCUGGCAGCUAGCCAACUUCAUGGCAUGAAUGGAAACAAAGUAAAUGAACUCAUCAAGGAAAGAGAGUCUUUGGUUGCUGAAAUAGAAGAAAAUCUAAAGAGCCUUCAAGAAGUUGAGAAUGUGGUAACAAGCCAUUUAGUCACAGACAGAUUCAUUGCACCUGCGCAGUCAACUUAUGACAGAGACACCACAUCAUAUGUUAAUCAAAUGAUGCCGAGAAAAGUUGCAUCGAGUAUAUGUUUUGACUUUUCUACGCUUCCAGCCUUAGUACCAG